CUAAAAACCCCCCCUUUUAUAACAUUUAAGACCUCAAAUCAGGUGGGACUACCCGCUGAACUUAAGCAUAUC
rnacentral:rRNA from 1 species